GCGGAGGCCCGCUCCGCCUCCUGCCGGGCCCGCUCCGCCUGCAGCGGGGAGGGAGGCGGUGGGAGGGGAGGCAGAAUGAAUGGGGAGCGGGAGGGAGAGGAAGAUGGAGGAGGAAGGGGCGGGGGGGGGGGGAAGACAGAGAGAGCAGCGUUAGCGCCGGCCGGCGAGCGGCCCCCGCGCCGCUUCCCGCCCCACCUGCGCUCUGCCCUCCGCGGCGAGGGACGCGGAGCAGCUCCACCCCGCGCCCUGGGAACGCCAGAAAAAUAAUAAAUAAACGCGCAAGCCCGGGCUGCGCGGCAGCAGCAGAGCCCUGGAGGCGGCUGAAAGCGCCCGGGCUGCGCGGCAGCAGCAGAGCCCUGGAGGCGGCUGAAAGCGCCCGAUAAAUAAUUCAAAUGACCCGAGUUGCCCUGGAAAAGAAAGAGGAGAAAAAAGAAAAAAAGAAAAAAAAAAGGGAAAGAGGCGCUGGGUCCGUGCUGGAGGGGGGCAGCAGGCGGGGAGCCCUGCAGCGAGUGCUGGGGGCACCUGCGAGACCCCCGAGGGCUAACAGCCGCCAUGUGUUUCAAUUGCAGCCUCCUCGCCGGCAGCCAGGGCCGAGAGACCGCCGCCGCCGCCGGUGCCAGGCCGCGGCCUUGCCCAGGGCCUGCCCUCCCGGAGGGGGAAGGAUGUCAAAGUCCCAUUUCCAGUGUCAUCGCAUUCAAAUCCUACGGUGGCCUGUGCACAACACACACUCUACAAUUCCAAAGGCCCGGAGAUUAGGAUGCCAAGAUUCACCGUGUGAGUAUGUUUUGCCAUUUGAAACACAUACUACAAAAGAAGAGAAAAGGAAGAAAAAGUACAACUGGAAAAGCUUUGCCUUGAUUCCAACUCUGCCGACACCGAUGUCCCUGACUAAUUUCAGCAGAACAGUGAAGGUGGCUGAUUCUAGUUUUUGACUAGCUCCUCUCCAGUGCACACAUUUCAGUUGUGCAUCAUUACCUGGCUUAUAAAACUCACUCCUUCUUCCCCUUCCUGAUCUCAGUCCACAUACAGGACACAGCUGCUAAACUGGCUCUGGCUUCUAGAAUUAAAUAUGCACCCGACAGCAUCAUGACAUUUGCCACCGAGCCAUCUGCACAACUUUUCUCACCAUUAGCUGAACACUGCCUUUGCAGGGAGAGCCAUGCUAUCAGCUGAAUGGAUUAGUGCCACCUGGGACUUUUAUUGCUUUCACAUGGGACUGCCUGCUACACAGCACACAGAGCACAGCAGGAGAAUUUUGAAAACUGAUUUAUUUUUUUGUGGAGAUAUAUAUGUCUAUAGGUAUGUAGAGAUGUUUGUUUUUUGGAAUUAUAAGAAAACAUUAACAUGAAAAGAUGCAUAUGGGAAUGAAAUUUCAUUCCAACUGCAUCUAAGCAUCUCAAAAUUUUCAUUCAUCAGUGCCUCUGAGAGAGAGAGAAAUACAGCUGGCAAAAUAAGAGUGAAAAAAAUCCAUACCUGGUGGAAGCCAGUUUGGGUCACCCUGCAGCUGAUGGGAAUUAUAUCAUUUUACACCAUGUCUGCAUUUGCCCUAUAAACCUUACUUCUUUCUUUUUAAAUAUUUUAUAAACACAAAGAAAAAUGCAAACUAAUCCUAACAAGGUGAAAGAAAGGGCACUGCCUGAUUUCUAAAAGUAACUAAAGUGAAGCUGGGGUAUGUUGUAAAUAUUUCCAAUUCUUCUAAUAUGCCAUCAUUUUUAUUAAUGCUUUUAUUUGUAAAAUAUGUUCCUAUUUUGCCUGUAACUUUCAAAAGCAAUUUAAUUUUUAUCUGUAAUCUGAAAUUUACAUCUAACUGGUAACAGAUGUGACCAACUGGCUUAUACUUUACUGAGUUACUGAGAUUUAUGGUGGGUGUUCUUUGUAAUGUAUUGUCUUUCAUGGGGUUAUGCUAUCAUUUGGUUUAUAAUUUGCUACUUUUUAACUCUUUCCUAAGACCUGCUUUUAUUUUAAAAGUGGAAAACAGUUUUGUUUCUCACAUAAAAGCAAAUUAAAUGUUAUCUGUAUACUCAGAACAUGAGAGAAAACAAGUAUAAAUGAGAUAGAACUGGUAAGUAGUUAGCUGCUCAGCAGGCUUAUUACAUGCUUAAAUAAUGUAUUAUUGGUUAUGUUUAUGCUUAUAUAGAUUUUUUCCCCAAUUAGAGUUUUCUUGAUCCUUUAUGGACAUAUAUGCUCUAUGAUUUCUCCCUGACAAAGGAAGGGGUAACACUUGAUAUUGCGUAACUAUAUAUUCUCGCUGUUUUAAAGAUAUGUUAAACAAAGAACAAUUAACAAAGUACUCUGAGGUAGCAGAUGAAGUCUCCAGUAGAAGCCAAAACACAGCACACAUUCCAGUUCCCAGAAGCCCUGUUUUCAGUGCUCUUUAUGUUCAGAAUUAUAAAUCUGUAUCCAUGUAACUGCACAGUAUUUGCAUGUCAGGAGAAUUGUUGUUUGUUUACUUUUUAGCUUGUUGAAAUGUGUCUCGAGGGGCAUGUGCCUUAAUUAAUAAAAUACUUGUUAAUUGCACAAGAACAAAAGAAAAGACACGGUCAGCAUUCUGGUUUCCGUCACGGGGACCUCUCAGACACUCUCCGGGCAGUGACUGUCUGAAGCUUUGGCUGUUACUAUAUGGCAUCCAGAAAUAUGCUGUUCGUCUGUAUGCUUUUUAUUUGCUGAGACAAAUCAGUUAGAAAUUGCUUUGAUGAUGUCUUCAUGUGUGAAUUACAUGUCAAAGAUAUUGCACUGCCUGGAGAUUCCUGCUCCUAGAUUCAGCAUAAAACACUGGCAUGAUCUGAAUGUUUUUUCAUGGUUGUUCAGGUGGAUAAUAAAGAUCCUA